rnacentral:rRNA from 1 species
GACGAACGCUGGCGGCGUGCUUAACACAUGCAAGUCGAACGGAAAGGCCCUGCUUUUGUGGGGUGCUCGAGUGGCGAACGGGUGAGUAACACGUGAGUAACCUGCCCUUGACUUUGGGAUAACUUCAGGAAACUGGGGCUAAUACCGGAUAGGAGCUCCUGCUGCAUGGUGGGGGUUGGAAAGUUUCGGCGGUUGGGGAUGGACUCGCGGCUUAUCAGCUUGUUGGUGGGGUAGUGGCUUACCAAGGCUUUGACGGGUAGCCGGCCUGAGAGGGUGACCGGCCACCUUGGGACUGAGAUACGGCCCAGACUCCUACGGGAGGCAGCAGUGGGGAAUAUUGCACAAUGGGCGGAAGCCUGAUGCAGCAACGCCGCGUGCGGGAUGACGGCCUUCGGGUUGUAAACCGCUUUCGCCUGUGCCGAAGCGUGCGUGACGGUAAUGGGUCAAGAAGCACCGGCUAACUACGUG